GCGGAGUAGCUCAGUUGGUUAGAGCGGUGGAAUCAUAAUCCAUAGGUCGCCGGUUCGAGUCCGGCCUCCG
rnacentral:tRNA from 1 species